GGCACUAUAGCCAAGUGGUUACGGCGACAGAUUCGAAUGCUCAAAGAGUUAUCUGUUCCUCUCUGAGGGCGCAGGUUCAAAUCCUGCUGGUGUCG
rnacentral:tRNA from 1 species